rnacentral:misc_RNA from 1 species
CUUCAUUUAGAGGAAGUAAAAGUCGUAACAAGGUUUCCGUAGGUGAACCUGCGGAAGGAUCAUUAACAAAGAUUGGGUGAGCAAAAAGGCCUGGACAAAUGUUCCAGGGGCUCACAUCAAUAAUCCCCCACCUGUGCACUUAUUGAAAGGAUGUCCUUCUGAUCAUUUUUGGUCAGGAGAAGAAAAUUAUUGCCUGAUAUUUUGACUGAACUUUUAAAAUAAUAAAUACAACUUUCAACAACGGAUCUCUUGGCUCUC